UACGUAGGUGGUAAGCGUUGUCCGGAUUUACUGGGCGUAAAGGAUGCGUAGGUGGAUAUUUAAGUGGGAUGUGAAAUACCCGGGCUCAACUUGGGUGCUGCAUUCCAAACUGGAUAUCUAGAGUGCAGGAGAGGAAAGUGGAAUUCCUAGUGUAGCAGUGAAAUGCGUAGAUAUUAGGAGGAACACCAGUGGCGAAGGCGACUUUCUGGACUGUAACUGACACUGAGGCAUGAAAGCGUGGGGAGCAAACAGG
rnacentral:rRNA from 1 species